CCUACGGGAGGCAGCAGUGGGGAAUUUUGGACAAUGGGCGCAAGCCUGAUCCAGCAAUGCCGCGUGUGUGAAGAAGGCCUUCGGGUUGUAAAGCACUUUUGUCCGGAAAGAAAACUUCCUGGUUAAUACCCGGGGAGGAUGACGGUACCGGAAGAAUAAGCACCGGCUAACUACGUGCCAGCAGCCGCGGUAAUACGUAGGGUGCAAGCGUUAAUCGGAAUUACUGGGCGUAAAGCGUGCGCAGGCGGUUCGUUAAGACAGAUGUGAAAUCCCCGGGCUUAACCUGGGAACUGCAUUUGUGACUGGCGGACUGGAGUAUGGCAGAGGGGGGUAGAAUUCCACGUGUAGCAGUGAAAUGCGUAGAGAUGUGGAGGAAUACCGAUGGCGAAGGCAGCCCCCUGGGCCAAUACUGACGCUCAUGCACGAAAGCGUGGGGAGCAAACAGGAUUAGAUACCCUGGUAGUCCACGCCCUAAACGAUGUCAACUGGUUGUCGGGUCUUCAUUGACUUGGUAACGUAGCUAACGCGUGAAGUUGACCGCCUGGGGAUACGGUCGCAAGAUUAAAACUCAAAUGAAUUGACGG
rnacentral:rRNA from 1 species